rnacentral:rRNA from 1 species
AGCAGCCGCGGUAAUUCCAGCUCCAAUAGCGUAUAUUAAAGUUGUUGCAGUUAAAAAGCUCGUAGUUGAAUUUCGGGGUUUAUCCGUUGGUCGGGCUCUUGGGUCUGUACUGGCGUGAUGGAUUCCUACCUUCUGAAUAACCAGCAUGUCAUUAAUUUGGUGCGUUGGGGAAGCAGGACUGUUACCUUGAAAAAAUUAGAGUGCUUAAAGCAGGCUAUUGCCUGAAUACAUUAGCAUGGAAUAAUGAAAUAGGACGCAUGGUUCUAUUUUGUUGGUUUCUAGGAUCACCGUAAUGAUUAAUAGGGAUAGUUGGGGGCAUUAGUAUUCAAUUGUCAGAGGUGAAAUUCUUGGAUUUAUUGAAGACUAACUUCUGCGAAAGCAUUUGCCAAGGAUGUUUUCAUUAAUCAAGAACGAAAGUUAGGGGAUCGAAGACGAUCAGAUACCGUCGUA